AAAAAAAAAGACCCCUCCCCCCUCACUGCGUAAUUUCCAUAUAAUGGCAUAAAACGGGCAGAGAGACGUUCUCUCCUAGCACGCCUGUGCAGAAUGAGGCCUGUGUCACGGCACCACCUCAGGUGGCAUCUUCAACCUUGGAACCUAGGACAAUUAGAGACCGAGAGGGGGGAAGAGGCAAGGCGGCCCAAUUUCCUUGGCAUACAGGUGAGGGUCACCUGAUCCAGGCCAGCCCACUGUCGCUACCAACAGAAAACUUGUAGCUUCCUCCACAUCUUCGCUCAAGAUCUCUUCUCUCUACGCUACCCCCACCUCACUCACUAAGCCCAGGCCCUUUAAGCGAUGAGCUGAAACGCCUCGGAACUGAGCAACACUUCCUGCUCCGUUCUAACUCUUAUAAACCAACCCAGAAGACCCUGCUCGCUCACUUACCACUGCGCCCGCCCCUUGGGGGCCGUUCGGGGCCGUUUCUGCCAUGGGGAGAUUCGCACACGCGCCUCGGACGCUGCAAUCGGUAAGGGAAGAAAAGGGAUGUAAGCACGGGGCCACGACUCCGAUAACCGGUUUCCCUGCACCGUGCAACGAGCCCGCCGCGCCCUAAGGGAACUCCGAACCUCAACAGAAGAAAAGUUUCGCCCGCUCCGGUGCAGCGAACUGCCUUCGGAGCACCCGAAGAGGCCGGAAAAUACCUGUACGACACUGCCAAGAGCAAAGCCGGGCUUCUAGAAAAACCGGAGAGAAGGCGGAGCUUCGGAGCAAGACCCAACGGCGCCGAUCUAACACCCCCGGCUCCAGGUUCUUGCCGAACCUGGAAGUGCUCCUUUUACUUCCGUGGGGAACAGGCGGUGACAAAGAGACAGGCUGAAGGUAGACGAAAACACAAUGGAGAUUCUAGAAAUGUUACCAAGAAGAAAUAAUUUAUUUUGAAUGGAUGAAAAUAAGGAGAAGCAUCACAAAGACUAUAUUUUCUCCACUCCUGUGCUAUUCUCUUGGGCUUCAAAUGAAACUAUAGAUCCUGAAGUGGAUUCCAGAACAGUGUUUCAGGCAACUUAGGGACAGUGUAAAAUAUACUGAAGUCAUAGUGGAAGAAGCUGAAGCUACUGUGCCAAGAUAUAGGAGUUUCCAGUGGUUAGUGUUGACUAUUGAAUGCAGUGACAUCUAUCAUUUUCUCCUUUGUAAGGGAAGUUGGAGUAUUCUGGUCUGAUACAGCAACCACCCUGGCUCUGUUUCCUUUCCCUUGGAGCACUCAACCAGCUCUGACAGAACGGCUUCCGGAUGCUAGAGACAAAAGAGUCCUCAAACAUCAUCUAGCAUAAUCACUUUCCUUUUACAACUGGGACAACUAUGGACAAGAGAAGUAGGUUGAGUCAAGCUUUCAGUCUCACAAUGUGAUGUGACAGUAAUCUUACAGCUCAUUGUCCAGAAAGUCCUUCCAAGCCAUCGGUGCUCCCUGACUCUGUAAGGUGGAUACAUUCUUUUUAUUUUUAUUUUUAUUUAUUAGCUACAACAUUGAGUGUGUUUAUACCAUUACCAAAAAGAACCAUGUUACUGAGGAAAAGCAUUGUUGCUUAGAGAUUAGUGGUUUGAUUCUUGAAUAUGCAACUUUUCUAUAUGGUAACAUAGCAGAGUGAUUAAGAGGUCUCAGGAUCUCAUCUAAACCUAAGUACCUCCCAAAGGCCCCAUCUCAAAAUACUAUCACAGGGUGGGUAGGGUUCAACUUAAUGAAUUUUGGGGCAGGACAAAAUUCAGCCUGUAGCAAUCAGGAAAGUCACAUGUACCAGAUUUUUCUUUCUUCCAAAUAUUUGUAUCUGAUGGCAUGGUCAUGAACAGAGAAGAGAGAACUAUAUCCACCUGUUCCCUAAACCUCACUCUUGAUAUAUUUUGACUAACAUGAUACUGACUUUUCUUGGGAUUUUGCUUAACUGUAUGCAAGCUUUCCUCUCAAAUUGCUAGACCAAAAUUUUCUUCUAAGAAAUAUUUUUAAUAAUAAAUUGGCAUUAACGAAGCUAUACAAAUAUCCAUGAAUUUUUAAUAGCAAAGUACUUAGUAUUAUAGAUUGGAUUAUGUUCCCCACCCCAAAAAAGAGACAUUGAAGUCCUAACCCCCCAGUAUUUCAGAAUGUGACCUUAUUUAGAAAGAGGGUUGGUGCAGACGUAAUUAGUUAGCUAAGCUCAUACUGAAUGGGAGGACCCCUAAUCCAAUAUGACUGGCCUUAUAAGAAAAUGACAAUGCAAAAAACAAACAUAGGGAGAAUGCCACGUAAAGACAGAAGAUUGGAAAAAUGCAUCUGUAAGCCAAGGGACACCAAAGAUCUGCCAAACUGCUAGAUGCUAGGAAGAGGUGAAGAAGUAUUCUCCUAUUUAGAGGAAGCAUAGUCUGGCCUGGAUUUCAGACUGGCUUCCAGAAGUAUGAGGCAGUAAAUGCCCGCAGUUUUAAGCCACCUAGUUUGAAAUACUUUGUUACAAAAGCCCUGCAAUAUGAAUACAAUGGUCUGUCUUCUGAAAUUGUAACAGACUAGUUAGAGGCAGUUUAUUUUCUUAUUUUAAGUUUGUAUUUAUCCUUUUUUUUU